rnacentral:lncRNA from 1 species
UAGUUUAAGAGCGCGACGUAGACGUAGAAAUUAUUACAUUAUUUACUACAGACUCGUGUAACCGCCAUUCGCGCGCAACCUCGCCUCGAACUUGGUCGCACCGCGGAGUCGAACCGCGAGACGAGCGCCCUUCGGCGCCGCCGACCCUCUUGCGACGGGACCCUCCGGCUCGCCUUCUGAGGCGGCCUUCACAGGGAAAAUAUAUACGGGUGAUCUAAGGAAGUAGAAAACUAACCAAUAAUUGCCGCCGUGCAGUGCGGUUCGUUCGUUCGUUUUGUUUGCCUAUGUUCUGAAAAACGUUGGAGGACAAAUUUUGAUCUACCGCAGGAUACCGUGUUUUGUUUUGCGUGAGGCUGAAAGAUGGUCGAAACAUGCAUGUUGUGAUCUGGAGGAUCGAGCGCGUAAACGAGUAAACAAAAGAGGUUCACGUAAACCUGAUCAAGAGCGCCCAUAAUAAAUGCUAUCGAAGCAAGCAUAUCAACAUGAUGGAUGACUGCGGAGAAUAAAUCCAAGCGAAGCGCGCGAAGCGCGUGAAUGAUAAAGAACAAACAGACAAACUUUUUCUCGCACUAUCGGCGAAGGAGGAUCCAAAAUAACGCAUCGGCGAUCUACGAAUGAAACGACGCGACGCUUGAAAACACUCAAAAAGCAAACCUCGUCCAAAGCGCGACGAAACGUGCGAAAAACGCGCGCGCGUCCGCGUUCGCGGUGACAUUCUUUCUGCGCGUCGCGAUCAAACGUACCGCCCGAGGGCGAACAACGGUAAACGGUAAACAUAGAGUGCGCGUACGCUAUCUUCGUCGCGGAAAUCGCGCGCCGCGCGCCUGCGUUCGCGUGCGUGCACGAGUUUUUUUUUUUUUCGCCCUAACGAAUGAAUGAAUGCGUGCGUGAUCGAUUCACGCGAGAUCUCCCGCCGUCCCGCUCGCGCGCGCCUUUCCCUGCCCCCCGCGCGAGCGCUCGAGCGCCGCCUCGCCCUCGCGCGCGCUCGGAGCGUCGACGCGCGCGCGACGCAUCGCGC